rnacentral:rRNA from 1 species
GAGCACGUAGGUGGGUUUGUAAGUCAGAUGUGAAAGCCUUCUGUUCAACGGAAGAAUUGCAUCUGAAACUGCGAGUCUUGAGUGUAGGAGGGGAGAAUGGGACUUCUGGUGGAGCGGUGAAAUGCGUAGAUAUCAGAAGGAACGCCGGCGGCGAGAGCGAUUCUCUGGCCUAUUACUGACACUCAGUGUGCGAAAGCUAGGGGAGCAAACGGGAUUAGAUACCCCGGUAGUCCUAGCCGUAGACGAUGGGCACUAAGUAGAGGGGUUUU